CAGACGUGCACCUGACGGCAACAGCACAUUCCUGUAAUUCUGGUCACUACCGUACGAUUUUGUGGAAGCGGGCCAACAGCAGAGCUCUAGUAUCGUUGUCGUGGAGAAUAUUAAACACUCGAUACCCGAAUAUAUCGAGUGAAGGCCACACGAUGAGGACGUCAAAUAUUUGCAUUCGGACUACCGCGGUUUAAUCAGGAGUUAAUCAUCAAUGGAUAUUACUUCAUCCAAAGCGGGUCCAGAUGACUGACCUCGCCAACUUUUUCGCCGACUUGGCGAUGACGAAAUCCAAUUCUUUAAAUUUCAUUCAUUACAUUUAUUACGCGUGUGUUACGUCAUUCUGCAAAUUCCUUUCACCAAAUAUAUAGGAUGUCUUAUCUUUUAAUAGUCUGACAUUUCGGUAAUACACUGUAUGGGAUAAAA